GAGCCCUGAAUUCCAGCCAGGUCUUCCCAUUCAGUGACCAGCACUGAACACAGACUGCUCACCAUGGAAUUGGGACUUAGAUGGAUUUUUAUUGUUACUCUUAUAAAAGGAUUCCAAUGUGAGGUGCAGUUGAUUGUAUCUCAGGGCGGUUUGGCACAGACUGGAGGGUCCAUUACACUCUCCUGUGCAGCCUCUGGAUUCACCUUCAGUGAUCACUGGAUGCACUGGUUUCGUCAAGCCCCAGGGAAGGGGCUGGAAUGGGUAGCAACUAUAAAAUAUGAUGGAAGUGCAAGAUACUAUGCAGAGUCUGUGAACGGCCGAUUUAUCAUCUCCAGAGAAAAUUCUAAGAACUCAUUGUACCUGCAAAUGAGCAGUCUGAGAAAGGAAGAUACUGCCAUGUACUACUGUAUUACACAGUGA